UGUCACAUUUAUGUCUGUUCCAAAUGUAAAUUAUAGUAUUCAUUCUUAUGUGAAUGGGAAUGAAAAACAAGAGAUACUCUUUCUGGAAAUAUAUAUUAUUUUAACUCCUAAGGAAGUUCUUUAUGAAGCCUCCCGAAUUUGAUUUAUUUAUUUAUUUCCUUUUUACACGCAGAAGAAGAUCACUUUAAUUUAGAAAACAAUCAACACAAACUUACUUUGCCCCUUUUUACAUCAUGUUUUCGUUGCGAUCCUUGAUACUGUGGAAAAUUGCAGACAAAUUUGGUUGAUGAGACUGCAAUUGCGGUUGCGGUCGUGAUGAGGUUGUGGUGAUUCCAAAAACCUACACCAAGGUUUUAAAGUGGUUCACAAUCAUGGUAUGAUGCGGUUGUUGUGGCCAAUGCAAUUGAGAUGCUGGCAUUUGCAAUUUAAAAUCCAGAAUUGAAUAUUGUCAGUUAAGGCUUGGUGAUGUUUAGUUUGAUGAUCUAGGAAGGGAUGGAUUAACGCAUAACAUGCUGGAGUUGAUACAUUCGCAUUGGAAGCGUCGCCGAGUCUGUAAAAUUCGUUGUUUAGGAAUUCCAACGGUAGAUACGGAUAAUGUUUGCCAUCAUAUUGAGGAGAAGACGGGGGAAAAUAAUUCAUCGAGUUGGUGGUGUAUUUUAUCUUUUCCGUGGCAGAAAUUACAACUAUAGUGCCCAUCCACAGUAUCCAGUGAUGCUCUGGAAGCCAGCUGCUCUUGUUUACCCAAAACUUAUACAGGAUGCUCCGGGAGGAUUAACAAAAGAUGAAGCUGAUGAAUUACGGAGGAAUGGGAAAAACCUGUUACCAAUAUGUAAAUUAGGUGAACAUCUAUUGGGGUUUCAUAUUUGUCUUUCUAAUGCACAAACACACACAUAGCAUGAAGAAAUUUGACGAUUUAUUGUACCCUUUGUCUUGCCUUGAGUAACUGAAGUCACAGAAGUUGAGGCAAGGCUUUUUCUAAACUCAAACUCUUUAGGCUUUAAAUAUUUUAAAUGUGUCUGAAAUACAUUUUGGUGCCAUUAAUAGCUGUCUGAGUUCUGCAACACUAUUAACAAGUCAUUAGGAUUAAUAAUUUAUAGAAUUGGUUCAGAAUAUAAAGGAAAGAAUGAUUUCUUAUUGUUGAACCCUAAAUCUCAAUUAUUGUUAGAAGAUACGAAAUAAAUGAUUUCCCUCUAUAUUAUUCUCCUCACUCUCUAAGAGUCUACCUUUCUCAAAUGAUAAGAUGAUUUCUCUAUCACCCUCCCCUCUCUAUUUAUGGGCAAUAUGCCUUAUUUUUUCUACCUAACUAACUAACUCCCUCACUAACAGACACCUAAUUAACUACUAAUUGGUAUCUAUCAAUAAUAUUGAAGUAUCACUGCCUGUAAGGUCUGAAAAGAAGGAAACGUAGUUAGGACAGUUACUGCAACUAAGUUAAGGGAAUCAGUUAAAUAAAUAUGGGAGAAUAAAGAUGAAAAGAUUCAUUCAGAGAAUUAGACCAUGUGUAUGGAAGAGGAAACCCUUUGUAUAGGGGAAGCUCUUGGAAGAGAAUUCUUUUCCUGUUCUCAGUCAUUCUAUAAAUUUUUCAUUGUUUGUAUCUAUCAUUCAAUUUUCUUUCAUGGGUUCAUGACAAUUGGUCUGACCUUCUGGAUCUUAUUGGGGAAGAAAUGGAGAAUUUGAUGGUGCUCUUGAAGAAAUGACCAGUGAUCAGGGGCUACAGCCUCAUUGGAUUCCUGAAUUUCUGAGAUUAGAGUAUUGAUAGAAUUGAAGAGCUUAAAUAGAUACUUCAUAAGUUGCUGAGGAAGUAGGGAAUUGAUCCUGAGGAGGAAAAGGCGAAAGCACAAACAUGGUGAGGACCUGCUUCAUCACAAUUGAACAAGAACAAGGAAAAUGUGGGAGGAUGUUCAGAGUUUGCCAAUGAUGAAUCUUGUUCUUGGGUUAAGACAGUCAUAGUUUCAAUGGAAGUGGUGCAUUGGGUUGGAUGUCGGAACAGCAAGAAACAAAUGCAUAACAAGAUUGGCCAUUCAAUAAGGUGCUAGAAAAACAAGAAACAAAAGCAGAACCGGUUAGUAACAGGGAUGACCCAGUGGCAGAGUUGAUAGAGGCAGAAGUCAUAGAUGCAGAUGCAACAAUUGAUCACAAUUUCCAAAUCUCAGAUUUGGUGAGGAUAAAAGAACUUCAGAAAGAACUUGUUUCAAUGAAAUGGAAAUUACUGGAAUCAUGACACUGUCCUUAAAAUCAUGACACUCUAGUUGAGGCUUGUGUUAACAAAAAUUACAAAAAAAAAAAUAAGUUUGGAAACUAGUUGUGUGAAACAAAUUCAGUUUUUAAAAUAGAUUCAGUCCUUAAAACAAAAUUGAAACCGAAAGACUAGGAAUACAAUGAAACAAUUUUCAUGUGACUAUUUCCUUAAUUAUAUAUGUUACAUCCAUGUCAGUUUAUUUAACCACAGUAAUAUGUGAGAGGAUUUGUAUUACAUAUUGUGACAUAUUAGCUUUGACAGUUUUAUGUGUAAGUGGCUGGAGCAGUGCAACUAUGUUUCGUGGCAUUGAUGUGAUUUUUCGUGUCAAAGCAGAAGCAAAUAACUCUAGCUUUCGUGUUAGAAUCGAUGUGAUUUCACUGCUUCAAAUGGGUGUCAAAACGCGCUGUGACAUGCAGCAAGUACUUUUCAAAGGCUAUCUUCCAUGAAUGCCUGCACUUUUUUUGGAGGGUGUAUUCUUUCCAUGUCUUUAAAUAUCUUUGGUUAUUGGGUUUUUCAUGCUCAAGCAUGUGCUUAAUCUUGUGUAUCCUCUAUAAGUACAUACAGGAUAAAAUAUUGACAACUUAUUUAAUGCUCUGUUUGCUUUAAUUUCAUUGCCCCUUGUUAUGAGGUAAGCAAUUGUUUGAAAAUAAAUUCAUUCAUGAUCAAUUGUAUGAGAAUUGUAUGAGGUAAGCAAUUGUAUGAGAAUAAAUUGAUUUAUGAUUUACAUUUUUCGUGUAAUGCUGCAUAUAUGCGCCUCGGUAUGGAACCAACUUGAGAUGGACAAUGGAGAAUUGCUGCUUCUCCCGGAACUACUAGCUUCUUUUUCUACUAAGAUUGGCAAAACGGUCCAUUCCCAUAAUAACAGAGCCAACAUUUUCAACUAACGGUACUUGCCAUCAAGCAUAUUCAUUUAUCACUAGUGAAGCCCAUGCUAUUUGGACUUCAUAGUAGUCCAAUGUUGUAAGUGUUGAUGAGGAUCAAUCAAAGGUGGAAAGGUUUUCUUUAAAGAAAAAGGGAGCUGGACCGAAGAGUUGAAUUGGCUAAUGCAGAUGUAGAUUUGCACCUAUUGAAUGAUGUUGAGAGAGAGAUAAUUGCCGAAGGAGAAGAAACACGGACUUCAAGGGCAUGAAGAUGAAGAAUGUUAUGAUUUUUUUUAGCUUUGUUACCUAUUCUCUUAUGUAUUCUUUCUUUUAGCUAGUGUUCUAGAUUGAUCUAGACUAUCAAGAAAUGUGAUUGUCAAGGAAAAAUAGCUUGACUGGUAUUCUAAUAUGAUAUGAGACAUGUUAAUAGUAGUUGAGUUGACUAGAAAUUUCUAGAUAAAUGA